UAGAUGGUUGGAUGGAUGGAUGGAUAUUUGGAAUCUGGAAAAAUUACCAUGUGACUGGAAAAAGGGUCUGAUUGUGAAACUCCAAAGAAAGGAAACCUUACCGAAUGUGGAAAUUGGAGGCGGAAAACACUCUAAACAGAAUAAAAACAGGAAUUGAUAAAAAGCGUGGACCAGAACAAGCGGGAUUUAGAAGGCAAAAAAGCCCAACUGAACUAAUUUUCAUCUUGAGAAACAUUAUUAAGCAGUCCGUCAAGAGGCAAACAUCUCUCGACAUAAAUGUUGUUGACUUGACUUGUUUCAUAGAGAAAGUUUUUAUGGGGAUAAUGAGGCAAUAUGGUGUACCAAGCAAACUUAUAGACAUGGUGAAGCUGCUGCUGAAGAAGAAGAAGAAGAAGAAGAAGAGUGGGCAGACCAAACACAACAUGGAGAAGGACUAUCGAGAAAGAAAGAGGCAAGAUGGAAGAACUGGAAUGAAGUCAUAAGACAUACGAAGGACACAAUGGAAGAUGAGUGUGGAGGCCUGAUGUGCCAUAAGGCACAAAAAGGAAAGAAAGCAUUCCUCCAUCCCCUGGUUACGAGCUGUGUGUCCCUUCUCCUCGUGUUCCCCUCUGGUUCUCUGGCUGCCCCCCCUUGGAUGUCAACCUCCCACCUGGACACGGACUUUUGACGCCUCGCUAUUGCCCCUGACCUCCUGCUUGUUAUCUGGACCUUCGAGCCUGUCUCGCCCCUCUUGGACUUCUGCACCUCGCUCAACACUCCCGGUAACAUACAACAUUUAAUUCCUACACGUAGUCGCACACCAUACACAUUUUGGAUUAAUCACACACCUCACUUCCCUAAUAUAUAAAUAAAUAUAGACUCCCUGCUGUCUUCUUCCCCUGUACACAUAACACUGCUAGUUUAACUAAAGAAGUUUAACAAAUUAUUAGUGACUGCAUCUGAAGGAAACAAGGUACAACAACACCUUCGAAAUAUAAAUUAGUGUGUACCUGCCAAAAAGGAGAGGACUUAAAGGGGUGCCUAGAGGAACACCUGAGUUAUGUGAAUAAAGUUUAGACCCCAGUGUUCUAUGUGUGCUGGCAGGGAUAAAAUGUCAAAACAAGGACCUGCCAAUGUGUUUACAGUGGUUCAAGUUCUUCUGUACAACAGAAGCACUCUCGUGUUUUUAGGAAUUUGCUGCACAAAUGUAUACUCUAGCCUUUAAACAGACUCCCUUUUUAGACCAGUUGAUCUGCUGUUUCUUUUCUUUUUCUCCUAUGUCCCACUCUCCCUUGUGGAGGGGGUCCGGUCCGCUGGCCAUGGAUGACGUACUGGUUGUCCAGAGUCGGGACCCAGGAUGGACCGGUCGUCCAGAGUCGGGACCCAGGAUGGACCGCUUGCCUGUGUAUCGGCUUGGGACAUCUCUGCGCUGCUGAUCCGCCUCCGCUUGGGAUGGUUUCUUGCUGGCUCCGCUGUGGACGGGACUCUCGCUGCUGUGUUGGAUCCGCUUUGGACUGGACUCUCGCAGCUGUGUUGGAUCCACUAUGGAUUGAACUUUCACAGUAUCAUGUUAGACCCGCUCGACAUCCAUUGCUUUCCUCCUCUCCAAGGUUCUCAUAGUCAUCAUUGUCACCGACGUCCCACUGGAUGUGAGUUUUCCUUGCCCUUAUGUGGGCCUACCGAGGAUGUCGUAGUGGUUUGUGUUGUGGUUUGUGCAGCCCUUUGAGACACUAAUGAUUUAGGGCUAUAAAAGUAAACAUUGAUUGAUUGAUUGAAGUUUGAUUUGAACUCGGUGAGCCAGGCUGGAUUUGGCCCCCGGGGCUGCCACUUUCAUAUUCCUGCUAUGCCAUGGGGGUCUUGAACAUGUUACUUUUUAUGCAUACUACCAAUAUUUUGCAAGUAAAGAUGUGUGCUAGCAACAAGUCAGUGUUUACAGACCAAAACACAUGCUGGGAGGCAAACAAAUCAAAUAGCAACCUGAUGAAGGCAGCAUGUCAACACUUGAAUGCUGCAGAGGUGUUUAAUAACACAUUUAUUUUCCAUUCAAGUCCAGUCUAGCAUGUCAACGGGUUGUGACAGUCAAUACUAGCUCCCGACCAAGCCCACAAAUUCAAAGGAAGGCUUUUGUGCAUGUUGGACAUGACAGCAUGAACAAAGAAACUAAGACAAUGACAAUUUUCAUAGAAAAAAGGCCAGGAAGCCUGACGUACAAGUUGGCGGUAAAAAAUAUUUCUUCAUCCUCCUGAGAAAGUGUGGCACACUUCCUGUUCAUUACAAACUUUGACAAUAGCAGAGAUACGUUGACGUUAGGAGGAAGACUUUCUUUUCGAUCAAACAUCCUCUCAUAAAAUCUUACUGUGAAACACACAGAUUACAUUCAUCAGUUUUUAAACGUGCUUUAGCACGUGAGUAAAUUCAUUCCAGGUAGAAUAUCAACAUAUAUAGAGAGGUGGGGAGGGCUGAAACAGACGCUUUUUGGCUCCAGAUGAAAAACAGGUCCAGUCAGUUGUGUUGGGACACACCUGGAGGAAUGUACCACCUUUGCUCAACUUCUUCCAGCGUGUUCCGACAAGAUCCGGCACAGAGGAGUUGUUGUCAAAGAAAGGAAAUGUUCCAGGACGGAGAGAAGAUGCUAUUACUCAGUAAUUACAAGUGGGCGAGCUAGAUGUUGAUGUGGUAUCAGUAUCGCACUGAGACUACUACUACUUUUUUUAAAUUCUUUUUUGUGUUUAUUUUCAUUAAUAGCAAUGUGUUUUUGUUGCCUUAUUCAAAUUGCUGUACUGUAAUACUGUUUAAAAGUCAGGGAAUAAAUUCAUGGGGACAAAAGACCUAAAGAUUUAAAUGAGAGUAA